rnacentral:tRNA from 1 species
GGCGGACGUAGCCAAGUGGAUUAAGGCAGUGGAUUGUGGAUCCUCCAGGCGCGGGUUCAAUC